UCGGGGGAAGAUGGCCAUAUGGGGAAGAUGGCCCACUCAAAUAAUUCCAAUGUUUAACGAUCGAUGGCGUUGCUGGUGCUGUAAUAUAGAUCCUAGUGGCAUCAGUUUGCUGUGUAGCAUGUGUAUUACGCACCACGAUUGUUCAAUAUGCCAAGAACGUAUACCCCGAAGCACGUUCGAUGCCGUGGCAAUUGGAGCCAAAAUGAUUUGAUACUUGCUAUCGAAGCUGUGAACCAGAACAAUUCCUCCGUCAGACAGGCUUCCAUGACAUUCGGCAUACCGCGAAAAACCCUAGAGGGCAAAACUAUUCCUUACCUACUGGUUUUUACUGUUUAUUUUUUGAAUUAAUUAAUGAUGAUUUCAUGUUUCAUUUUAGCACCAAUAAAUACUUACCUUA